UACGGGGGGGGCAAGCGUUGUUCGGAAUUACUGGGCGUAAAGGGCUCGUAGGCGGCCAACUAAGUCAGACGUGAAAUCCCCAGGCUCAACUUGGGAACUGCGUCUGAUACUGGAUGGCUUGAAUUCGGGAGAGGGAUGCAGAAUUCCAGGUGUAGCGGUGAAAUGCGUAGAUAUCUGGAGGAAUACCGGUGGCGAAGGCGGCAGCCUGGACCGACAUUGACGCUGAUGAGCGAAAGCUAGGGGAGCAAACGGG
rnacentral:rRNA from 1 species